rnacentral:rRNA from 1 species
UGCCAGCAGCGCGGUAAUACGUAGGGUGCAAGCGUUAAUCGGAAUUACUGGGCGUAAAGCGUGCGCAGGCGGUGAUGUAAGACAGGUGUGAAAUCCCCGGGCUUAACCUGGGAACUGCAUUUGUGACUGCAUCGCUGGAGUGCGGCAGAGGGGGAUGGAAUUCCGCGUGUAGCAGUGAAAUGCGUAGAUAUGCGGAGGAACACCGAUGGCGAAGGCAAUCCCCUGGGCCUGCACUGACGCUCAUGCACGAAAGCGUGGGGAGCAAACAGG